CUUUCCCUGCCUGGUUCGCCAAGGCCAAUAGUUCCUUGAACCGAUGCGCAAGCAUCAGGAACGAUCUUUACCUUGUGGGCGUGAGCGUUUUGCGGGUUCACAGUGCCAACUCAGACUUGGUUUCUCCCUGAACUCCUUAAUGCACCCGAAACAAAGUAGCCGUUCCACCUUGAACCUUUGGGUUCAGGAUGACGGCCUAGCGGCUAAGGCGGGGAAUUC
rnacentral:other from 1 species